GCUGUUGUGGCUAUUUGAUAGAAAUGCCAAUAAGUUAUCGAUAUUUUCAACUUAGCGAUAAUUAGACAUCGAGCUAUCAGAAUCACCACAGCCAAAGUGGCGGGCCAUCUCGACAGGCAACUAAAGAUUGCUAAAAAUCUGAUUCGCUAGCAAUAUUGCCAGUGGAGACUGCACAUUGCUUAUGUUUGGCAAUUAAUAUCUAAAUACAUUUCACGCCACCCAUUGCAAGCAAUAGCUUCUCAUUUUGGUGGUUUUACAGAGCUGUUUGCACACAAAUUUCGAUGAGGGAACAUGUACAUGCAUAGCUUCGGUCGCAUGGUGCCAGCAAAGAUGAAAUACCAAUAUUUUAUAUUUUAUGUAUACAUAUAUUGAACAGAGUGGUAACGACUUCAUUGUGUUGAACAGAUUUAGCGGAAAAUUACAUGGAACAACGCCAGCAAUUUAGCAACAUCGAAUCAUCGCCUACUAUUCAGUUAACGUUUCUGGAGUGUAGUGUUGUCACUAGUAGCGUUGGAAGCUCUCCAUAUAAACAACAUCCACAGUUUAACCAUCUGAGGACGAGAUCUGAGAUAAAUAGAAUAAAUUGGUUUUCUUAUUCUUCCUAUUAAUUUGCCUAGAACUACACGCAUCACAAGCAGAAGAUUGUCAUACAAACGUCAUCACUCGCAACACCUGCUGGCUUAAACGCUCAUACUCUGAAGGUCAUGACUAAUUUGCACUUUGCCAAAAUUGAUGACCUUGCGUCUGCCAUAUUUCCGUCGCUGAAUAGAAAUUUUUAGGAAAGCAAGGCUCACGCUCGCUUACCUUUACGCUGACGAUCACAUUACUGCGCUGCCGAUCUGAGGUUUCGUUUAAGCUUCAGCUCUGAAAGUGUCGUUUAAUUAAUUUCGUAAUUUUUAUUAAUUCAAUAUUCGGAACACUUUGGACCAGUCUUCAACAGUGGAAUAACAGAACUCUUAAAUAAUGGUCUAAUAUUUUCUUUCGGACUCCACCAAAUCAGGAAGAAGGAAAGGGUCAUAGGAAAGACCAACUUUACUAGGUUGCUGUUCUGUCUUAAAUAUGGCUCUUUCAUUUUUCGCAGACUGAUCAAUGUCAUUCUCAAAAUCCUUAUGGCAAAGUCCUGCUUCAAAUUAAAGAACAUAUAAAAUAUAUUGAAAAUGUGUUCGCGGUCUUGUACAAAGCAAAUUUUAAAGUCAAUCUGGAAAAUCUAAAUUUUUCAGAACGAAAGUGAAUUUUUUUGGCCCGUGUUCAGAAGAAGGUAUUUUGCCAGAUCCUGAAAAUAUAUCCGCUAUCAAAGAAAUCCCUGUGCAAUAAAAAUGCUAUGGAACAGUCUUGGAUCCACAAUUCGCUAAGGAGAACUGGUAUAUGUGUAUAAAUUAAUGUUUUAUUUUAUGCAUGUCUUAAUUUGUUUAUUAUAAUGUUUUUUUAGUUGUGGGGGGUAGUGCUUGGUGUUAGGUUUUAUUACACGGUUACACAGUGCCAUCGAUAAAGCCGUCGGUCGAAAAUUGGCAGGUCUCAUUUACAGUAUGAAUGAAUGAAAUUCCUAACAUAAAAGCAAUUUAUAAUAUUUAUUAAUUAGCUAUACCCGAGCGAACUAGGAUAUUAUAAUUUAUUUACAUUUUAUAAUUUAUUAAUAUUAUUAAAGUU